ACAAACAUAAUACACAGUGAGACAGUCAAGUCAACUCAAAUGUGUUUCAUUGUCAUUUCAACCCUAUACACAAAACGUUUCACCGUGGCUCAAGUGGUAUUACACAUUUAAAAUAUAUAAAAACAACAUCAUAUAAAAAUGACUGGCUACAUUUAGUGCAUACACAUUACAGGCUCUGUAAAGUCCAGCUAACGCGUUGGUAGCAUAAGCGCUUGGUGUAAACACUGAGUAUAAACACAGCCA